ACCAGGCUAGCUCAGUUGGUAGAACAUGAGACUCUUGAUCUUAGAGUUGUGAGUUCAAGACCCAUGUUGGGUA
rnacentral:tRNA from 1 species